rnacentral:lncRNA from 1 species
CUAUCAUUAGGUGGAUGGAAACACUUUCAGAGGUGGUUGGGAUGUGUGUUUUGUUCUGGGUUACUUGGUAAUGAACUACUAUGACUAAUGUGUAUGUGUUGUUUGUGUGUGCAUCACUUUGUGAUAGUGGGAAUCUUGAUCCCAUAAUAGUACUAACUGGAUAACGGAUACAUCGGUUCAAUAUCAAAUAAAGCUCAAAAACUUUAAUAACUUAAAUAUGGUGAUU